rnacentral:rRNA from 1 species
UGGGGAAUAUUGCACAAUGGGCGCAAGCCUGAUGCAGCCAUGCCGCGUGUGUGAAGAAGGCCUUCGGGUUGUAAAGCACUUUCAGCGAGGAGGAAGGUGGUGAGCUUAAUACGCUCAUCAAUUGACGUUACUCGCAGAAGAAGCACCGGCUAACUCCGUGCCAGCAGCCGCGGUAAUACGGAGGGUGCAAGCGUUAAUCGGAAUUACUGGGCGUAAAGCGCACGCAGGCGGUUUGUUAAGUCAGAUGUGAAAAUCCCCGGGCUCAACCUGGGAACUGCAUUUGAAACUGGCAAGCUAGAGUCUCGUAGAGGGGGGUAGAAUUCCAGGUGUAGCGGUGAAAUGCGUAGAGAUCUGGAGGAAUACCGGUGGCGAAGGCGGCCCCCUGGACGAAGACUGACGCUCAGGUGCGAAAGCGUGGGGAGCAAAACAGGAUUAGAUACCCCGGUAGUCCACGCUGUAAAACGAUGUCGAUUUUGGAGGUUGUGCCCUUGAGGCGUGGCUUCCGGAGCUAACGCGUUAAAUCGACCGCCUGGGGAGUACGGCCGCAAGGUU